rnacentral:lncRNA from 1 species
UGGAGGGGAAGAUGAAAAUCCAGCAUCCUCCACUGGAUUCAAAGGUCUCAGCAUCCUGUUCUGGCCAAAGGGAAUGGGCAGAGGGAGGAAACUUGGCCAAAGGAACCUGUGGACCAAUGUGGCUAUGGAACUACUAAGAAUCAGUGGAGUUUCCUUUCACCCCAGAGGUGGCUGACUCCUUCAGGAAUCAUGCACAGAGGACUUUGGAAGCCUUUAUGAGGAAAUUAGCCAGCCAAAGGAAGAGAAGAUAUUAUUAUUAUUUUCCACUGUUUGAUUCAUCUAGCAAUCAUUAGAUGAUUACAGCUCUUGCAGUUUGAUGGAUGGUGGAGUCUGUCUUGUCACUCUCUCUCUGAGUGGCACUGUAGCUGCUCAGUAAUUACUGUGCAGCAGAGAAAGGGG